CAAUAGAACAGUAGAUCAUACUUUCCAAGGUUAGAACGAGAGUGCGGUUGUAGUUUUCUCUAUACAUCGCUCACAUUAAAUCACAUUGUUUGUAGCCUAAAGGGUAGUAGGAAUAGAUUUGGUUAGUCAGAUGCACGCUUUGUCCCAGUGGUAAAAAUAUAAAUACGACACUCUGGAUAACCUCCUUGGUGAAGUGCUCACCGAUAUUUGUGCGCUUGCGGAUCAUUUCCUAAUAUCGUUAACAAAUAUCAACAGUGGC
rnacentral:lncRNA from 1 species